CAGUCGCCACGGGAAUACGUAGGGUGCAAGCGUUAAUCGGAAUUACUGGGCGUAAAGCGUGCGCAGGCGGUUUUGUAAGACAGAGGUGAAAUCCCCGGGCUCAACCUGGGAACUGCAUUUGUGACUGUAUAGCUAGAGUACGGCAGAGGGGGAUGGAAUUCCGCGUGUAGCAGUGAAAUGCGUAGAUAUGCGGAGGAACACCGAUGGCGAAGGCAAUCCCCUGGGCCUGUACUGACGCUCAUGCACGAAAGCGUGGGGAGCAAACAGGAUUAGAUACCCCCGUAGUCCCUGUCUCUUAUAC
rnacentral:rRNA from 1 species